rnacentral:lncRNA from 1 species
CGGCGAGGGCUCUGGCGGCUAGGGUUUGGGGUUGGGUGUGGAUGAGAUUAUUUAUAAGCUUCCCCUUUUAAUCUAAAUCGUCCAUCAUGAUUUAAUCUGGACCGUCUAAUCGCGAUUAAAUUAAAAAUGAAUCUGGACCGUCCAUCACGAUGCGAUCUGGGCCGUCCCUGCGUGAUUCAAUCUGGGCCAUCCGCAUGCGUGAAAUCUGGGCUGUCUGCACGCGCUUUUGAUCUGGGCCGUCCGUGAGCGCGGGAACAGAUCUCAGCCAUCCGAUCGUGCGCACGCGGAUCGCCCACGUGGCUCCGUUC